rnacentral:tRNA from 1 species
GGCGACGUAGCUCAGAUGGUCAGAGCAUGCGGCUCAUAUCCGCAGGGUCCGGGGU